UCGGUUUGAGAGAGAAAAAUCCUCUGAUUCCAGCUUGUUAAAUGUGAAUAUGUUCUAGUUUCUUCUCUCCUCUGUGACGGUAAACUGAAUAUCUUUGAGUUGGGGACAAAACAAGACAUUUGAGGACCUCAUCUUGGGCUUUAGGAAACCACUGGUCCACAUUUUCUGCCAU